ensembl:snoRNA
GGCCCCCUAGUGCUUACCACAGGCUGUGUUUUCACAUUGAUUGUCUAGAAAGAUGAGGCAGAGCAAACCUGAUCCAUGUACACCCCAGCCCACGCCACUGAGCCUGGUCUGUAUUGUGAAUGGGCAGACAUGG